CUAGUUAAAUAGAAAUAAGUGCCCUGAUAAAGGAGGGACACUAUGGUUAUGUUGGAAGAGCUUUGAAAGCAGCUGGAUUCCAAAUGCUGCAGUUCCUGAAGAAACAGAGACCCUACAGCUGGGGGAAAAAGAACCAAUCUGGAGAUAGAAAGAAAACAUUACGCCUCUGUGAAAUAUUGCCUGAAAGAAACCUGCUUGAAAGGCCAAGAGCAAAUGGCAUGAAUUCAAUUUCACCUCUUUAGGAAACAUGGAUAAUCUCUCCACCUAGAUAUGUGAUGCACUGCAAGUAUUUUAUUAUGACACUACAAAGAGAGCUACAAAUUUCUGCCAUACAUCUUCUUCUGGACAAACAGAGCCACUUACAUUUCCCACGUGCAUGAAUUUACAUUGGUCUAACUUAAGACAGUUAUUUUUUUGUUUGCCUAGACUUCCAGAACCCCAAACUGAAAAUCUGAACGCCUGCUUCCAAGGCAGUACCACUUAAUAUACUCAUUCAAUAAAAUACUGUGCAGGCAAAAUAUGUAGCAAGAUCAUGAAAAGGACUGGUGGUUAUUUUCUGCUUCUUUGGAGAACAUGACAAACAUCAGACACCCAAGGACCAGUGGAGAUGGUUGCAUUUCUUCUCAUUAGUUUCAAAGAGCUCUAAACAAGCGGAGCAAUGCAGGCAGCAGUCCAUGUCCCCUCUCAGCCCACAUACAUGACAUUGGGAAAUGGGUAUGGCAACGUGUAUUUCUGCUGAUUAAACAGGCAACUAUUUUUCCAUCCUUUUAAAUGUCCAGAGGAAGUUUGUACAAGUAGCAAAUCCAAUCUGACAGGCAAUAUAACAUAUUCUUUGUAUAGCAAAUCUCCAGUAGAUUUUUCUAUACUAAUACCUUUAUCUGCUGUAGUAGAUUUCCCAAAGCUGCUAGCUAUCAGGUUCCCACUUAGCCCCAGGGUCUGGCAGGCGCCUCCAUACACAUCUUUCACCAGCAUGUCUACGUUUGUGUGCUGUCCCUUGGAAGCGAGUUGCAGCAAUUCAUCAAAUUUCUGAGGAUGAGAAGCGGAGUUACUGCAGGUAAUUGGGGCAGCUAGAGAUCCUUGCCCACACAGCAAGAGCUCUGAAGCAUUCUUAUUGACAGAAAAAAAUAUGGGCUUUGGCUUGGAACCAACCCUGCCAGUAAAAGAUGCAUCACUUCUAUCUGGAGUCCACAUCUUAUCAUUGAUCUUAAGUGGAGAGCCUUUAAUGAUGAAAUGCACAACUAUCCUCUUAAAUGAUCUGCAGAGGCUGGGUCAGAGGCCCAACCUCAGUCAUUCUGUGACUCUGUAAUGUGCAAAUACUUUGUUGCAUGUUCCCUGAAAACUAAAGGUUGAGUGCAAGAUGAAUCACGUUGUCUACCCUGCAGUAUUCUGGAGAACUGAAAGCUCUCUGGAAAAAUGAUGUCAUCCAGACCUAGUACAGCACUAAGGAAAGCAGGAUUUGCUGAGUUCUCUCCUACAUGCAACCCCAGUGAAUAAAGAAUUAAAACUAGGUGGAAAAACAACUUUAUCCAACACCACCAACAUGAUUUAUAAUAUUUCAGCAAGUAAAUUACCAAAAAGUGAUCCCAGUCUAGCACCUUUAAUCUCCAGAUUAAUGCAUAUGGAACAGAACCUUUACAUAUCUCUUGUCUUGGAAUGAAGUCAGCAACACAGCAACAGCAAGUAGAAUUAAGUCUUCUUGAGGCAUACAAAAAUAUAAGAUUAAAAAAUGAACAUACAAAGUCUGCCUUUACAGAUGCAGAAAUGCAUGAAUGUCCCUGAAAUUAAGCUUUAAAAAAAAACCUGCAUUAUCCCAAUAGUUUGUAUUAUAAAUUUGCUAAUGCUAAUUCCCACUUCUGCAAAUACAUUAAAAAAAGAGCAGACACUAAGAUUUCUUUUUGAAAUGCAUCAAAUAAAAUAUUCUGAGUAUGGGUCUUCCCUUUGACAUUUUCUUAUCCAGUGGAUAUGUAACUCUAGCUUUUUCUACUCUGGUGACAUUUAGUGACUCCUAUUUAAGUCACAUGCAACUCUGAGACAGGAAAAAACAGCAUGAUUUAAGAGCUGAGUUAGGCAGAGCAGGCCUUAUUCUGGCAGAUCACCAACCUGAGAUUUAAGUGCUGAGACUCUGAAAGUGAGAAGAAUAACAGAGGUACAAUUCCCCUUCCCUACUCUCACACACUUUGCAACAUUAGGCACUCUGUUUUGCUUUUGUGGAUACUAUCGCAGACUCAAAUAGGAUCACCAUUUUGCCACAGAGCAUUCAAUCACUUUUGUCCCUACAUUCUACUCAGAUUCUUUUGCAUGUAAAGCUUCCCUUUAUGCUUCAGAAGCAUUAGAAGUACGAACAUGAACCAAGCAUUCAGCCUUCAUCUAACAGUCUAGGACCACAUGCUCCUCAUGGAGGUCAUUAAAGUUGUCUCAAGCACUGCAAAACUGCCCCUUCUCUUUCUGUACAAAGACAGCAGUUCUUAAAUAAAACAAUGCUCUGCAAGAGAUA